rnacentral:Y_RNA from 1 species
GGCUGGUCCAAAGGUAGUGAGUCAUCUCACUUGAUUGUUCACAGUCAGUUACAGAUUGAACUCCUUGUUCUACUACUUUCCCCCCUCCUCACUACUGCACUUGACUAGUCUUUA